rnacentral:rRNA from 1 species
AUUGAACGCUGGCGGCAUGCCUUACACAUGCAAGUCGAACGGCAGCACAGCAGAGCUUGCUCUGUGGGUGGCGAGUGGCGGACGGGUGAGGAAUACAUGGGAAUCUGCCCAGUCGUGGGGGAUAACGUAUGGAAACGUACGCUAAUACCGCAUGCGCCCUACGGGGGAAAGCCGGGGACCGAAAGGCCUGGCGCGAUUGGAUGAUCCCAUGUUCGAUUAGCUAGUUGGCGGGGUAAAGGCCCACCAAGGCGACGAUCGAUAGCUGGUCUGAGAGGAUGAUCAGCCACACUGGAACUGAGACACGGUCCAGACUCCUACGGGAGGCAGCAGUAGGGAAUAUUGGACAAUGGGGGCAACCCUGAUCCAGCCAUGCCGCGUGAGUGAAGAAGGCCCUCGGGUUGUAAAGCUCUUUUGUCCGGAAAGAAAAGCAUUCGGUUAAUACCCGGGUGUUCUGACGGUACCGGAAGAAUAAGCACCGGCUAACUUCGUGCCAGC